GCCCCGGUAGCUCAGUUGGAUAGAGCAGCGCUUUCCUAAAGCGCAGGUCGGUGGUUCGACUCCACUCCGGGGUG
rnacentral:tRNA from 1 species